rnacentral:lncRNA from 1 species
AUCACAAAAGCUCAUAUAUAUUGACUACAGAAAUUUCUUUACAUAUACAAAUAGACAAAAUACAUUAAAAUCUCUAGUGGUUUUCCACCCACUGGUCCAGCCUAUUCUUGGAUGACAUCUUCUGGGCAUACUUAAGUUACACCGACUGCAUCUAAGAAACAGAGGAGACAAGGGUGAGUACGAUAAAUCAUACUCAGCAAGCAAAUACUUCACUAUUCAAUAAGGAGCAAUGGUAUGAUGGUGUAGAUCAACAGACGAAAUGAACAAGGAAAUUAUUGGCAUCACACAUGACCGCAAGCUUCCCAACCCGGGAGUCACAGGGGUGAAAGUUCACACUUUUACGCUCUUAAGAGGGGUACUCCGACGUCGACAGUCUCGACUAGAACCACACAGGUUCCAGAAGAGCAGAGCUCUUGUACCCACUAAGACCCGAACACCUGUACCUACUGAUGUCGAUCGCUCCUACGGAUCCAUCACCGACACGUUCCUGAACAAGGUCCGUCCUUAGCGGAGAACUCAGACAGUCCCAUACCUGAACUGUGACCGGUACAAUAUGUUUACCGUCGUGACACCAAUACAAAAUAGGAUAUGUGUUUGAAUCAACGGUAGAAUCACUGUAAUAUCAGUCAAAGACUAUACGCGUAUGACUUCUCACGAGUUCCUCCAAAAUACUCUGAUUCCAUCAACAAAUGGAAUACGAGGACAACACAUCCCUCUCUCAAGGAUCAAGAGAGGAUCAAUAAGGAUCAAGGUGCAACAAUAUUAACCGAUAAUCAAAGAAGACAACAAGCGAGAUCGGGGAGUUAGGGAAAGCAGCUACUUGCCUCAGGUAAUAUGAUUUCUCCUUUAGAAUAAUAUUUUGCAAGAAGAUGAAACUCCAUCAUCUUUAUAUAAAAUCUGACGAACACACAUAUACUCAUAUUUCUUCUGAUGUAUGGCUCGGCUCUUCCCUCCAGCAGCACCUAAACGCUCUAUUCUUCUUCAAAUGUGGAUGCAUGCAUGAAUUCUUCAUCUCUCUUCUUUAUCUUUCUGGUGUCUUUCUUUCUCUCAGGCUCUCUCCUCCAGUGUUUAUGUCUUUCUCUCAGAGCUGUGCUUUGAGCAGCGUGGCCCACAGCUAUUUAUAGGAGGCAAGCGCCCGUGCAAGUCUAAAAUAUCUUGGCCUGGCUCUCACUUAAGCACUAAGAAAUGGCCACGUAUAGGACACGUAAAAGCUGACUUCUAUUUUCUAUUUCUACGUUCCUCUAGUACUUGGCCACGUUGCAGCCCACGUAGGAAACUUGGGUUUCUAGCGAUGCAGCCGAUGCAUGCAUCUACCCACGUUUGCUGCCAUUCCUCUCCUGUACAUGUAGUUGAUUCACUAGAGUUUUCAAAACACCUGACACAUGCAUGCAUAUCCUCUAGAACCAAGCCACGUUGCCUCUUCCUCAUGAUUACAUACAUGCACCUAUUUGACUUGGAGCUCUAGUACUAGGAAAUAUGUACCGGUGUAUCAUUUGUACCUGGUCUAAUUUCAUCUGUUCAAAUGCCACGUUAACUCUCUUGUAAUUUUCUAGCUUAUAUGGCCAACUAGGUAGUAGUACUUCCCAUGCCUAUAUCACAACGUGAGUGCAUGAAUGCAAGUCUAUGCGCACAUACACCUACUCUUACAUAGUGUGUAAUUUUCUAAUAUUUAAUGCAUGCAAAAAUUUACAGCUCUAUCUUAAUUCUUUGAAUCAAGAAUUUAGCAUAACUUAGCAGAUAAUACAAAUUUAAUUACUUAUCUUAAUUUAAGUCAAUAACCCAAAAAUAUGGGUUAUUACAUCCUUCCCACCUUAUAAGAAUUUCGUCCCCGAAAUUAACACUAACAUCUAUGCUUUUUUUUAGUGAUCAAAUUCCCUCCCAUCAUAUUUGGAACAGUUUAUUUGAUGCAUGCUCAAUAAUUAAUUAUAAAAUAAUGCAAAAAAGAUUUGCAAUCUUUCUACAAUUCAUGGAUAUAUCUGCUAUAACAUAAGUUGGCAACACUAAACAUUUUAUUUGGUAAAUUCAUUAACAAAAAGGAUAGAUAGUGGUAUAGCAAUUGUCCCAUUACUAGAACAUUAUUACCGAUUGUCUUAAACAAGAAAAUCUACACAAAUAUUAAGUCAUGUAUUAAUCUAACAAGAUGUCUAUUUAUUUCCCAUGCAUCCUCAAAUUUCAUCAAUAAUGUGUACACUAUAUUUUUUAUUUGCCUGGAUAUCUGUUGAAACUAUUCAUGAGUACCAACACACAAACUAGUUGAGACAAGAUAUGAAAAUAAAAUCUUCAUAGCUGUCACACAACACAAAUAUAUAGUGACAAAAUUUAUUGCCAUGAACCAUUUUAGUUUAUAUGGUUCCUCAAGAGUCUAAUAAUGGUGUGAGCACUUCUUUUUUUCUACCAAUUGAUAAAAACAUCAUAUAAACUAAGUAAAUCGCCGAAUUUAGCUGCGAUUUAGGUUGCGUGCAUCCACAUAUCGCUUAUAUGGGUUAUCACCUAAAACCUAUUUAUAGAGCUCUAGAGCAUGAAAUAGGUUUUAGGUUGCGUUGGGAUAAAUGGGUAGAUCGCCGAGAUCGGGGAGUUAGGCAAAGCAGCUACUUGCCUCAGAUAAUAUGAUUUCUCCUUUAGAAUAAUAUUUGCAAGAAGAUGAAACUCUAUCAUCUUUGUAUAAAAUCUGACGAACACACAUAUACUCAUGUUUCUUCUGAUGUAUGGCUUGGCUCUUCCCUCCAGCAGCACCUAAACGCUCUAUUCUUCUUCAAAUGUGGAUGCAUGCAUGAAUUCUUCAUCUCUCUUCUUUAUCUUUCUGGUGUCUUUCUUUCUCUCAGGCUCUCUCCUCUAGUGUUUAUGUCUUUCUCUCAGAGUUGUGCUUUGAGCAGCGUGACCCACAACUAUUUAUAGGAGGCGAGCGCCCGUGCAAGUCUAAAAUAUCUUGGCAUGGCUCUUACUUAAGCACUAAGAAAUGGCCACGUAUAGGACACGUAAAAGCUGACUUCUAUUUUCUAUUUCUACGUUCCUCUAGUACUUGGCCACGUUGCAGCCCAGUAGGAAACUUGGGUUUCUAGAGUUAUUAGCAUAUUUUUUUUAGAGCUGUAGAGCAUGAACAGUGAGACAAACAAGGAAUAAUGAUACAUCUCUAUGCGGCUGUAGCUCCGAACUGUAUUUUAUAAUUAAUUAUUGAGCAUGCAUCAAAUAAACUGUUCCAAAUAUGAUGGGAGGGAAUUUGAUCACUAAAAAAAUAGCAUAGAUGUUAGUGUUGAAUUUUGGGGACGAAAUUCUUAUAAGGUGGGAAGGAUGUAAUAACCCAUAUUUUUGGGUUAUUGAUUUAAAUUAAGAUAAGUAAAUUUUUAUUAUUUUGUUAACAUAAAUAAUUGAGCGAAGAAGACAUGCUAGAUUAUUCUUGCAAGUAAUUAAAUAGAACUGUAAUUUUUGCAUGCGUAAAAUAUUAGAUGGAAAUGGACCAGGUACAAAUGAUAGAUUGGUAGAUAUUUCCGAGUACUAAAAUUCCAAGUCAACUAGGUGCAUGCAUGUCAUGAUGAGAAUGCACACGUAUGUAUUGUUCUUGCUAGCUAAGUAAAAAUCUAUGUGUACGUGGAGGUUGGCGUGGCAUGCAUGUAGUCUCUUGGACAGUCUAGUCCUAUACGUGGGCUCUUCCUAUGGUGCCAGGUUUAAUUAGGCCUUUGCACUAGCCGUAGGUGCAGCAGCCAAAUCAUUUUUUACCUAGCUUCAAGGGCCAAGGGUCAAGCGGCAAGAGUCACUGCGGCUGAGAUAUUUUAGCUAGUGACCGACUGUCAGCUCCUAUAAAUAGAACGCUCCUGCUGCUGCUCAAAGCACGACUCCGAGAGAGAAUUAGAUACUAGAGGGGUGAGUAUGAGAGAGAAAGAGGGUAAGAGAGAUGAAGAAUUCAUGCAUGCGCAUACAUGUUUGAAGUGAUAUGGAGAGAGGUGUCGAGCCAUCUGUCUAAAGAAGAAUAUUAGCAUAUGUAUGGUUCAUCAGAUUUUUAUACGAUGGAUUAUUACUUGCUGGCCGAAUAUUAUUCUAGAGUAGAAGUCUUAUUUUCUGAGGCAAGUAGCUACUUUACUAACUCUGAAAUCCGUUAUCUUCCUUUGAUUAUCUAAUUGUAUUGUUGCACCCUGAUCUUUAUUGAUCUCUGCUGAUCCUUGUUUCAAUUGAGAGAGGGACAUGUUACCCUCGUAAUCCAUUUGUUAAUGGAACCAGUGUGUUUUGAGAGGAACUCAUGUAAAGCCAUGAGCGUAUUGAUAUUCCAGUGAUCCUAUCGAUGAUUCAAACACAUAUCCUAUUUUGUAUUGGUGUCACGACGGCAAACGUAAUGUACCGGUCACAGUUCAGGUAUGGGACUGUCUGGGUUCUUCACUAAGGACGGACCUUGUUCGGGAACGUGUCGGUGAUGGAUCCGUAGGAGCGACCGACAUCAGUAGGUCCAGGUGUUUGGGUCUUAGUGGGUACAAGAGCUCUGCUCUUCUGAAACCUGUGUGUUUCUAGUCGAGACUGUCGAUGUCGGAGUACCCCUCUUAAGAGCGUAAAAGUGUGAAAUUUCACCCCUGUGACUCCCGGGUUGGGAAGCUUGCGGUCACGUGUGACGCCAAUACCUCCCUUGUUCGUCUUUGAUUAUACUAUUUAUUUUACACAUCUCCAGCAAAAUAUGUUCCAGUGAUUGUUACCUUGUUUAUCCUUUGGAUUCAGUUUGUUUGUUGAUCUACAUCAUUUUACCAUUGCUUUUGUUGAAUAAUGAAGUAUCUGCUUGCUGAGUAUGAUUUAUCGUACUCACCCUUGUCUCCUCCGUCUUUUUAGAUGCAGCCGAUGUAACUUAAGUAUGCCCAGAAGAUGUCAUCCAAGAUUAAGCUGGACCAGUGGGUAGGAAGCGACUAGAGAAUUUAAUGUAGUUUGCCUAUUUGUAAAUGUAAAGAAAUUUGUAAACCAAAUAUAUGAGAUUUUGUGAUCCACUUAGUCACGCAAGGCAUGAUAAAGCAGGCAUAAACCAGCAGUGGAUCACAAAAGCUAAUAUAUUUACUAUACAAAUUCCUUAACAUCUACAAAUAGUUGAGUAAAGACAUCAUAUUCUCUAGUCGCUUCCCACCCGCUGGUCAAGCCUAGUCUUGGAUGAAGACAUCUUCUGAACAUACUUAAGUUGAACAUACUUAAGUUACCUCGUUCGCAUCUAAAAAAAAGAGGAAGCAAGGGUGAGUACGACAAAUCAUACUCAGAAAGCAGAUACUUCACUAUUCAACAAGGAGCGAUGGUAUGAUGGUGUAGAUCAACAGACGAAAUGAACAAGGAAAUUAUUGGCAUCACACAUGACCGCAAGUUUCCCAACCCGGGAGUCACAGGGGUGAAAUUUCACACUUUUACGCUCUUAAGAGGGGUACUCCGACGUCGACAUUCUCGACUAGAACCACACAGGUUCCAGAAGAGCAGAGCUCUUGUACCCACUAAGACCCGAACACCUGGACCUAAUGAUGUCGAUCGCUCCUACGGAUCCAUCACCGACACGUUCCUGAACAAGGUCCGUCCUUAGCGGAGAACUCAGACAGUCCCAUACCUGAACUGUGACCGGUACAAUAUGUUUGCCGUCGUGACACCAAUACAAAAUAGGAUAUGUGUUUGAAUCAACGGUAGAAUCACUGUAAUAUCAGUCAAAGACAAUACGCGUAUGACUUCUCACGAGUUCCUCCAAAAUACUCUGAUUCCAUCAACAAAUGGAAUACGAGGACAACACAUCCCUCACUCAAGGAUCAAGAGAGGAUCAAUAAGGAUCAAGGUGCAACAAUAUUAACCGAUAAUCAAAGAAGACAACAAUAAAGUGAGGUCGGGGAGUUAGGCAAAGCAGCUACUUGCCUCAGAUAAUAUGAUUUCUCCUUUAGAAUAAUAUUUUGCAAGAAGAUGAAACUCCAUCAUCUUUGUAUAAAAUCUGACGAACACACAUAUACUCAUAUUUCUUCUGAUGUAUGGCUUGGCUCUUCCCUCCAGCAGCACCUAAACGCUCUAUUCUUCUUCAAAUGUGGAUGCAUGCAUGAAUUCUUCAUCUCUCUUCUUUAUCUUUCUGGUGUCUUUCUUUCUCUCAGGCUCUCUCCACCAGUGUUUAUGUCUUUCUCUCAGAGUUGUGCUUUGAGCAGCGUGACCCACAGCUAUU